rnacentral:rRNA from 1 species
ACGGGAGGCAGCAGUGAGGAAUAUUGGUCAAUGGACGGAAGUCUGAACCAGCCAAGUCGCGUGAAGGAAGACGGUUCUAUGGAUUGUAAACUUCUUUUGCCCGAGGGUAAAAUCAGGUACGUGUACCUGUUUGCAAGUAUCGGGUGAAUAAGCAUCGGCUAACUCCGUGCCAGCAGCCGCGGUAAUACGGAGGAUGCGAGCGUUAUCCGGAUUUAUUGGGUUUAAAGGGUGCGUAGGCGGGCUGUUAAGUCAGCGGUGAAAGUUUGCGGCUCAACCGUAAAAUUGCCGUUGAAACUGGCGGUCUUGAGUGUAAACGAGGUAAGCGGAAUGUGACGUGUAGCGGUGAAAUGCUUAGAUAUGUCCCAGAACUCCGAUUGCGAAGGCAGCUUACCAGCAUACAACUGACGCUGAGGCACGAAAGCGUGGGUAUCAAACAGGAUUAGAUACCCUGGUA